UACGUAUGUCGCAAGCGUUAUCCGGAAUUAUUGGGCAUAAAGCGCGUCUAGGCGGUUUAUUAAGUCUGAUGUGAAAAUGCGGGGCUCAACUCCGUAUUGCGUUGGAAACUGGUAGACUAGAGUAUUGGAGAGGUAGGCGGAACUACAAGUGUAGAGGUGAAAUUCGUAGAUAUUUGUAGGAAUGCCAAUUGGGAAGCCAGCUUACUGGACAAAUACUGACGCUGAAGCGCGAAAGCUAGGGGAGCAAACAGGAUUAGAUACCCUGGUAGUCCUAGCUGUAAACGAUGAUCACUGGGUGUGGGGGGUCGAACCUCCGUGCCGAAGUUAAUGCGAUAAGUGAUCCGCCUGGGGAGUACGUUCGCAAGAAUGAA
rnacentral:rRNA from 1 species